rnacentral:rRNA from 1 species
AGAGUUUGAUCCUGGCUCAGGAUGAAUGCUGGCGGCGUGCCUAACACAUGCAAGUCGAGCGGCAGCGAGGGGUGCUUGCACCCUGUCGGCGAGCGGCGAACGGCUGAGUAACGCGUAGGAAUUUGCCCCAAAGUGAGGAAUAACUGCCCGAAAGGGUAGCUAAUGCCGCAUAUGGUCUUCGGAUUAAAGGAUUUAUCCGCUUUGGGAGAAGCCUGCGUUGGAUUAGGUUGUUGGUAGGGUAAUGGCCUACCAAGCCGACGAUCCAUAGCUGGUCUGAGAGGAUGAUCAGCCAGACUGGAACUGAGACACGGUCCAGACUCCUACGGGAGGCAGCAGUGAGGAAUCUUCCACAAUGGGCGAAAGCCUGAUGGAGCAACGCCGCGUGAAGGAUGAAGGCCUUCGGGUUGUAAACUUCUUUUAUGAGUGAAGAAUAUGACGGUAACUCAUGAAUAAGCACCGGCUAACUACGUGCCAGCAGCCGCGGUCAUACGUAGGGUGCAAGCAUUAUCCGGAGUGACUGGGCGUAAGGAGUUGCGUAGGCGGUUUAAUAAGUGAAUAGUGAAACCUGGUGGCUCAACCAUACAGACUAUUAUUCAAACUGUUAAACUCGAGAAUGGUAGAGGUAACUGGAAUUUCUUGUGUAGGAGUGAAAUCCGUAGAUAUAAGAAGGAACACCAAUGGCGUAGGCAGGUUACUGGGCCAUUUCUGACGCUAAGGCACGAAAGCGUGGGGAGCGAACCGGAUUAGAUACCCUGGUAGUCCAA